rnacentral:lncRNA from 1 species
UUAUUUGUUUGUCUUAAUAUCACAAGCUGACUCAGAACAGGUAAACAUGCUCCCCUCUAUUAAAUAGGCAAAGUUUGUCUUCUGCACAUCUCCAAAGGGAGACUGAACCAGCUUCAGGGAAGGGUCCUCAGAGACCUCUUAGAUCCUUGCAACAAUCCUAAGAGUUCUAGGUACAGGAAGCUGAGUCCUCAGUCCCUGGAGCUUGAGGACUAUCUUAGACCCAGGAGGUUGCAACCAGCCCAGCAGGAAACCUUUGAAAAACCAAGAUUCCAGGAAGCAAGCCCAGGAGGGCUUCGGACUUAGAACUCGGAGAGACUAAUGCUAUAUAGGAACUGAGUUAAGUUGUGAACCUAAUCCCCCUUCCCUCCCCAGAGACUAAAAGGGUUUAGGAAGGAUUGUGCCUGAGAAGCUGGGAAAUACUAUUUAUAUGUUUGAAAUAAAUAUUCUUUUUUAUUUAAAUUUAUUUUUUCC